UGUAAAGUAGUGUAAAGUGCACAUAAGAUUUUGAAGCUUAUAGUAGAGCCACUCUCUCUUUCCAA
rnacentral:tRNA from 1 species